CCUCAAUCAUUUGAAAAUUAUGGCGCCGACAUGGUAGAUGUCCUAGAAAAAACUGGUAGUAACUCAAUGUAGAUACACAUAGUCGAUGGAGUUACUUGCUAAUAACUGGCAAUGAGACAUAUUUGCUUCAAAUGAUGCCUUUAAAGUUUGAAAAGAUUUUUUCUAAUUCAAAUGUCGACUUUUUGUUACAUGAAAAAAGAUACUUAUUU
rnacentral:lncRNA from 1 species